AAUGGGAAGACCGAAGUGCAGACAACCAGCUGGAACAAGGGUGAAAAUAUAGGAGAUUACGAUCCAUUCCUGGGUGGACGGCCAGCGUUCCAUCUUCACUAACACGAUAUAGUUGAAGAGCAUCAGGUAUCCGAUAUACGCCAGCUGUAAGGAGACACAAUACAGUGCUCUGGCUGUUCAGGCCCAGGAGCCCCAGCAUCAGCCAAGGCCACUGCACAGCAGCACAGAGCAGGGUCAGCAAGCAGGACACAGACUUUAUGACAAAAGGAACUUGAAGGUGCUAAACUAACAAAAGAAUUAGAAAAGACAGUAAUACUUGAAGGAUUAUAAUAUGCAAUCUUCCUUUUGACCUGUACAUGUAUCUCUGGGGCUCUGGUGCUUCGUUUAAAUCUAUGUGUCAUGAUGCAUCAUUUCGCC
rnacentral:lncRNA from 1 species